rnacentral:rRNA from 1 species
UUGAACUUAAUCCCUAGUUUCACCACCGUUAAGGGAUCUAAGUGUCAAGUGUGUGUGCAAGCUAAGCAACCUCGUAAGUCUCAUGUGACUGCGGAGACGAGAAAUCUUGCACCACUAGAACUUAUACAUUCAGAUCUAUGUGAAAUGAAUGGUGUUUUGACAAAAGGUGGAAAGAAAUAUUUCAUGACGUUAAUUGACGACUCCACUAGAUACUGUUGUGUGUAUCUUCUGAAAUCUAAGGAUGAGGCUUUGAACUUUUUCAAGAUCUAUAAAGCUGAGUGGAAAACCAACUUGAUCGGAAAAUCAAGAGGCUUAGGUCCGACCGUGGUGGAGAGUAUUUUUCCAACGAAUUUGAUGCUUUUUGUGUGGAACAUGGUAUAA